rnacentral:ncRNA from 2 species
CAUGGAGAUGGUGAUGGGGUUCACCUUAUAACCGCCUGAGAAGGCUGAUGACUCCUACCUGUAG